UUGAUCCUGCCAGUAGUCAUAUGCUUGUCUCAAAGAUUAAGCCAUGCAUGUCUCAGUACAAGCCUCAUUAAGGUGAAACCGCGAAAGGCUCAUUAAAUCAGUUAUGGUUCCUUAGAUCGUACCCACAUUUACUUGGAUAACUGUGGUAAUUCUAGAGCUAAUACAUGCAAACAGAGUUCCGACCGGAGACGGGAGGAAUGCUUUUAUUAGAUCAAAACCAAUCGGCGGCGGGCGCGCUCGCGCACCCGUUCGCCGCUCAACCUGGUGACUCUGAAUAACUUUCGGCUGAUCGCACGGUCCAGCACCGGCGACGCAUCUUUCAAAUGUCUGCCUUAUCAACUGUCGAUGGUAGGUUCUGCGCCUACCAUGGUCGUAACGGGUAACGGGGAAUCAGGGUUCGAUUCCGGAGAGGGAGCCUGAGAAACGGCUACCACAUCCAAGGAAGGCAGCAGGCGCGCAAAUUACCCACUCCCGGCACGGGGAGGUAGUGACGAAAAAUAACGAUACGGGACUCAUCCGAGGCCCCGUAAUCGGAAU
rnacentral:rRNA from 1 species